rnacentral:rRNA from 1 species
UUGAACGCUGGCGGCAGGCCUAACACAUGCAAGUCGAACGGUAACAGGAAACAGCUUGCUGUUUCGCUGACGAGUGGCGGACGGGUGAGUAAUGUCUGGGAAACUGCCUGAUGGAGGGGGAUAACUACUGGAAACGGUAGCUAAUACCGCAUAACGUCGCAAGACCAAAGAGGGGGACCUUCGGGCCUCUUGCCAUCGGAUGUGCCCAGAUGGGAUUAGCUUGUUGGUGGGGUAACGGCUCACCAAGGCGACGAUCCCUAGCUGGUCUGAGAGGAUGACCAGCCACACUGGAACUGAGACACGGUCCAGACUCCUACGGGAGGCAGCAGUGGGGAAUAUUGCACAAUGGGCGCAAGCCUGAUGCAGCCAUGCCGCGUGUAUGAAGAAGGCCUUCGGGUUGUAAAGUACUUUCAGCGGGGAGGAAGGGAGUAAAGUUAAUACCUUUGCUCAUUGACGUUACCCGCAGAAGAAGCACCGGCUAACUCCGUGCCAGCAGCCGCGGUAAUACGGAGGGUGCAAGCGUUAAUCGGAAUUACUGGGCGUAAAGCGCACGCAGGCGGUUUGUUAAGUCAGAUGUGAAAUCCCCGGGCUCAACCUGGGAACUGCAUCUGAUACUGGCAAGCUUGAGUCUCGUAGAGGGGGGUAGAAUUCCAGGUGUAGCGGUGAAAUGCGUAGAGAUCUGGAGGAAUACCGGUGGCGAAGGCGGCCCCCUGGACGAAGACUGACGCUCAGGUGCGAAAGCGUGGGGAGCAAACAGGAUUAGAUACCCUGGUAGUCCACGCCGUAAACGAUGUCGACUUGGAGGUUGUGCCCUUGAGGCGUGGCUUCCGGAGCUAACGCGUUAAGUCGACCGCCUGUGGAGUACGGCCGCAAGGUUAAAACUCAAAUGAAUUGACGGGGGCCCGCACAAGCGGUGGAGCAUGUGGUUUAAUUCGAUGCAACGCGAAGAACCUUACCUGGUCUUGACAUCCACGGAAGUUUUCAGAGAUGAGAAUGUGCCUUCGGGAACCGUGAGACAGGUGCUGCAUGGCUGUCGUCAGCUCGUGUUGUGAAAUGUUGGGUUAAGUCCCGCAACGAGCGCAACCCUUAUCCUUUGUUGCCAGCGGUCCGGCCGGGAACUCAAAGGAGACUGCCAGUGAUAAACUGGAGGAAGGUGGGGAUGACGUCAAGUCAUCAUGGCCCUUACGACCAGGGCUACACACGUGCUACAAUGGCGCAUACAAAGAGAAGCGACCUCGCGAGAGCAAGCGGACCUCAUAAAGUGCGUCGUAGUCCGGAUUGGAGUCUGCAACUCGACUCCAUGAAGUCGGAAUCGCUAGUAAUCGUGGAUCAGAAUGCCACGGUGAAUACGUUCCCGGGCCUUGUACACACCGCCCGUCACACCAUGGGAGUGGGUUGCAAAAGAAGUAGGUAGCUUAACCUUCGGGAGGGCGCUUACCACUUUGUGAUUCAUGACUGGGGUG